CAAUUUUCUGGUAUUAAGGACUUAUUCCAGAAUAUGAAAUACCCGAACUGCAUGAUUCCUAACUUGUCCUUUUAGGAAAAUUAUUGUCAGAGCUCCUUUUAUUUUUUGCCUGUCUUAAUGUCAGGGAUAACCAAAAGUGUUCAUGAUCAGUACACAUUUCAAAACUUUGUCCUUGAGAUUAUUAUGCUGUUGUCAAUUCUCUUAGAUGAACAUUUAGGAAAAUUCUAUUACCACAGCUUUUGCUUCUAUAUAUGGAUGUCUUAAGCCCAAGCUAGAUGCAAAUAUUUUCCAGCAAUACUGUGGCAUUGCUUUACAUUAUUUGUCUAUAAGAAACUAGGAAGGAUAUUAAAGAUGAGACAGUAAAGAAACCUGACUGAAUAUGGUUCCACUGACAACCGAGGAGUUUGCUUAAAAUGACAUGAAUAGUCAGUUUGAAAUAAAGGUUUGUUGAAACAUUUGGUGUUGCACAACCAGUUUCCACAUUAAUCAAUCCCUUAUGCUCUAAUUAAUACCUUGCUAAAAUGUUGAUUCUCAAAGAAAACAACAGUUUUUAACUUUUAUAGAUGUGUGGCACACUUUUGAAUUUAUUAUUAACAGGUUAAGUAUUGAAUAUUAAUCAGAAUAAUAAUCUGCUGUUGUAAUGCUUAUAGCAAGUGAGGUAUUUUACAUAUCUCCAUAUCCCACAGUGAUCCUACAAUGAGAACUUACCAUCAUUUUGCUAAUGAUGAGCCUGAAGAUCAGGGAUGUAAAGUAAGUUGCUUUUUUAUAUUACACAAUUUAUAUAGAUGAAGUCUAGGUUUAAAUCUGAGGCUGUCUUGUUUAAAUGUUCUUUUCUGAAUGCUCUAGGGGAGGAUUACUUUUGCUCUUCCAGCUUCUAGUAUUUGUUUCAAACAUUCCUUGACUUGUGGCUAUAUAACUGCAGUCCGUGCUUCCUUCUUCACAUGGCCUUCCCUUUGUGUCUGUGUCUUCUCUCUCUAUUUGUCAUUGUAUUUAGGAUAAUCCAGGAUGAUAAACCUGGAUGAUCCAAGAUCAUCUCAUCUACAGAGUCAUCCAACUGGAUCUGCAAAGACUCUUUUUCCAAAUAAGAUCACAUUCCCACUUCUGAGGAUUGAGAUGUGGGCAUGCCUUUUAGGGGACCAGAAUUUAACCCACAAUACUAGAUAUUGGAGGAACUGUUCUGCUCCCAAAACAGUAGGUUUGUCUUUGGAAUAUUUAGUAGUCAAAGUGCAGGAAGCCAAAGUUUACUAACAUAUAUAUAGAGAUUUGCAUAUAGCUGGUUAAUGCUGAUUCUCCAUGAAGACCAGCAGUAUAACAAUGACUGUCACUCUAGCACUAAUAGAAUAAGAAUGAUAUCUUAUUGGAAUGCUACUCAUGCUUUUGAAGUGGCUUCAUCAAAGCUGCAAUCCAUCCUGCCUAUUCAGUUGCGAAAAGAGACAUUAAUAAAUAGGUUGAAAGACCUCUGGUUUUCCUCCAUGAUGCCAACCUCAAAUAUAUAUAACCUUGUAGUCUAUUUUGAUGUAUCUUCCAUGAAUUUCUCAACCACCUCCUUAAUCUCUAAAUCUUUGCUCCCUCUCAAGGUAAACAUUCUUAAAAUACUGAGUAGCAUUUCAAUCUCUGAUUCUAUUUGUACUUUUCCAAACUUGAAGUCUGUCCUAUAGUAUUAACAUUCUCGGAUUUCAUGAAUAAUUCUGUGCUUACUCUCUCCAUAACUUCAAUAAUCCCAUUAUGUAAUAGGUCAGGUUCAGUGCCCUUUCUUUAACUUUUCAGACACUUUAACCCCAAGGCAUACUGAGAAUCUUUCCAUUCCAAAGCUGCACACAUCCCUUUCCAUAUAAGCUUUCAUGGAUUAUACAAACUAGAAAUGCAUCAUUACAUACAUUCAAAGAUGUCUUAAUUUUAUAUAAAAUAGGAAAACCUUUCUAGUUUGUUUUCAGUACAUGAUGAAAUGAUGAUCCCCAACAUUUUAUUAGUCUUUUUGGCUGCAGGUUCAUAUUAAGCUAAUAUUAUUAGUAAACAGUUCAAAGUGAUUUAUAGAUUAUUUUUUGACUGCAUCUCAUAUCUCAAAUCUUCUUAAAAAUAAAAUUUGUAUCAUUUUUCUUAAAUGUACUUUCCUUACUUUUAUCCUAAGAGCAAUUACUAACAUUUAUUCAGUACCUUUGAUUUGUGAGGCCCUAUAUUAAAUAUUCCAUGUGAGUUACCUCAUUAAAUCUCCAACAUGUACAACUACAUCCUAUCUUUUACAGGUAAAGAAACUGUGGCUGUGCCACUACUUUUUUGCUUAUUCACACAACCUGAUUUUCCUACUGGUUAUCUCUUUGGUUUGAAUGACUCAAAUUUCACUGCUUUGAGUGUGAUUUUAUUCACUACUUUUCUUCAUCAUUGGCAAAAUGUUGAAUUAGGACAGAUUCCAGUACUAAUCCAUGGGAGAUUCAUUUUUUAUUCAUUCAUUUAUUAAAUUCCAGGAAUUAUUCUGCACACUGAGAGUACAGUGGUAAUCAGUUGUGAUGGGCAACUCCCAAGAGGGCCCCAACAAUCUCCAUAGCCUAUAUCCCACCACUUUACGUAACUCUCCUUUAGUAUUGACUGGUCUAGUGACCCAUUUCUAAAAAGGACAAAAAUGAAGGGAUGUCAUUUCCAAGAUUAAUU
rnacentral:lncRNA from 1 species